UAUUGGCAGAUGGAUCUUUACUGGGACAUGAUUAAAAAUGAACAGUAUAAAAUCCCAGCACUCCCUCUCUUUCUUUCCUGUGUUCCAUCAAAGUACAAGCAGUUGUGCACUAAGAACACUUCAAAUGCAAUGACAACAACCACAAAGGCAACUUUCUGUCCAGUGUUUGUGUUGAUAAGAGAUUUUAUUGGUGUGACUGUGGUUUAUAUCACUAACACUUAACCAAUUGUUAUGUUCUCUGCCCUUUGAACUGAGCAGGAGCGAGUGUUGCUGCUUUGGGCAUAUUUUGAUUCUUUUAAAGCUCCACUGGAUUCUGUCUUACAGACCUUCUGGACUCAGAGCUGCUCAGAAGCCCCCUGUACUCUCAGGCAUUUUUUCAGCUGGAAGUCACAUUUCCCUGUGUUAUCAACCAUAUAAAACCAUCUAAUGUGUCACGGGUGACAGCGGGUCUGUCAGCACCUUGGCACAUACUGACGAAGCAAUAGAUGUUGACCAGAUCAAAGUAUACCCCUGAGAUGGACUGAAAAGAGAGGACUGAAAACGGAGGCCCUGAUCCUGACAACAUACUGAUGCAUCCUGAAGAAGCUGUCCCGUGGGAACAGAGAACACUGUCUCAUGAAAACAAGAGCACUGUCUCAUGAGAACAAGGACCUGUUUUGAACGAGAGUAGUUGGGAAGAACAUCAACAUGAGAGAAAAAUAAGAACAGGUGCUCGGGACUGUUGUGGGAAAGAACUGGGCUGUUUUGAGAAAGAGCAAAGUUGUUGUGAGAAAGUAGAGUUUAGAAAAUGCACCUAUUAGCUGUAAGAA